rnacentral:tRNA from 1 species
AUUUAUAUAGUUUAUUUAAAACAUUACAUUUUCAAUGUAAAAAUAAAAUUAAUUAUUUUUAUAAAU